AUGGACGGAUUUAGCCGGAGUAGUGGCUUAAUUGAAUAUUGACGACAUAUUUCUGUGGUUUUUCCAUGGUUUGAAUUUGGUUGUGGCUCCAUGGGGCUUUAUAGAACCAUGAUAGAGAAAGAUCAAAAGGUGAAUUUGUACAUUAUACUUGUCAAUCAGAGCAAGCCAGGCAGCCUUCUGUUUUUUAAAAUCGCCCACUAGAGGGCUGCAGCUCCGCAAUAACCAGCCUAGUUAAAAUGAACGAAAUGACACACAAAAAAAACAUUAGUUCAUUUUAAUGAACGAGAUUUGGUGACUCGAGUCUGUCGAAAGAGUGACUUUCCAAUCAAUAGUGCAGGGUGAGAGCCAUAUGACACAGAGCACACACAGAACCAUAUGUUCUGUGUGUGCUUAUAUUCUUUAUUUUUAUAUUCUGAUUAUUUUAUACAAGUAUUUUUUUACUCUUGUUGUCAACGUAGUAAAAAAAAAUAAAUUAUGAAUAAAUUCCAAUCAGCAGCAUGUUUCAUGAGCUGGAGACAGCGAGUGACUUCUGUCUGAGACCUGAAUAAAGGGAGGAACGAGAAGCAGAACUGCUGCACAAAUACUGUCCAUCUACCAAAUAUUAUCAGUCUGCAUGUAGUUCGUGAAGAUCCUAACUGAACAAGACUUAGACAUUUACAGAAACUGGAGUUCACUGAACUAAAGCUGGUACACUGUAAAUGUGAAUAUUUUUUAGCUAAAGUAAAAUGUAUAAUGUGACCUUUGUAUUUUUAUGUUUGGGAGUCUGUAUUUCUUUUUAUUUGUUAUUAAAUAUUUGUUUAUUUGGGUUCUACGGUUAGUCACUGUGUAGCUGUUCCAAUUUAUUAGGAACACCUAAAACUAAUGCAGUCUGACAGUCCUGCAAUAAAUCUCCUUCAUGAACGUUUUAAUGUUCAGAGAGUCGUUUAGUUGACUUCAUGGACAUUUUGGACAGAAACACGUCUCUGAAACAGUUUGAACUCAAACUGAACAUUUAAACCUUGAUGAAGGAGAUUUAUUGCAGGACUGUUUAUUAUUUUGUUUAUUUAUUACAGGAUUGCUGCUCCUGCUGGCUGUGAUAUUUGAGUUCUCUGAAAGUUCAUGUAUGUUGAUGUUUCUAACUGAUGAUGAACUUGUAUCGUGUCAUUUCCUGCAGAGCUGAAUCAUUUCUGUCCAAACGUUUGAAUAAAACAUGAAAAAUGUCAAACUGUAUGUUGUGGCUGUUUUUGAUGUUUCAGUCUGUUCAAACUCUGAGAAAAGAAACUAAAGAGAUUUUACUGUGUUGGACCGAUUCUAACAUGAUCAAUAAUGUGCAACUUGUUUUUUAAUAAAGACCUUUUACAGUGGUGGAAUGUAACUAAGUAUAUUUACUCAAUUACUGUACUAAACUACAAAUUCAAGGUACUUGUACUUCACUUUUUUAAUACUUUUUAUAGCAAACAGACUCAAGCUCAAAUGUUAUCAGUACAGCAGUUUUGUAUUAAAUGGUAUUUUCCAUCAGUCCCAAGAAAAGGGAAGAGUCAUAUAAAGACAGAACCACCAGGGCAUCGAACCAGGAUCACCUCCAGUCCACGUCAGUCAGGAUCCACCUUGUCCUCCAAGGGAGUUAAGACGACUCCAUUUAGCGAAUACAAACAUAAAAAACAUUGUGAGCUCAUUGCACAAAUACAGUAAAUCACAAAAGGAAGACGGCGUGAAUAAAUUAUAAAUAUAGUAUUAGUAGACCAGAACCACGACAGGACAAGGUUUUCCAUUCCGUCUAUGUAAUAUUGUCAUUCAUGCGAACACAGCAUUUGGACCAAUACUUGUGGAAUUUAUUGAUACAAAGUCUUAAAGACAAGGUCAGUUUCUCUGUUUAAUACAUUUAUUAUUUAGACAACUAUUUCCAGUCUCUGCUCUGUUUCGUACAUUUACUUUAUUAUCGAUAUCCACUCUUAUAUGUUUUGGUGGUUCCUCAUCUCACCAUUUAUUGCUUUCUUGUUGGCUGCAAGUUAUAAUUAAAGAAGAUAUUUGUCUUGAGUGUGAAAUUCAUUACCCAACUACACUGAAAAAAGGGAGACUGGUCACCUGUUAGAUUUAUCAAAUUAUAUUUAGUGUAUUUUACUAAAGGGUUCUUAAGAGAAACGUGAUAAAAUUGUGUGGACUGCACAUUUAAAGCAGAAAGUGUGAACAAACAUAUUUAGCUCAUGUUGGGAUAAAGUUAGUCAAUCAAGUGAAUGUAUUAAUUCUCAUUUUUUCUCGCGAUAUUCACGCACGGGUGCAAAUGCAUUUCGGGAAGAAGAAAAAAUAGUCCGCGCUUUUUCACACAUUCCCACUUGCAGCUUCCAGCUCAACUCGCCCUGGGUCCAUUCCACCGUCGCUCAGCUCAACUCUAUGGACACUAAACUCACACUCCGUACAUGUCAUGUGGAAUCAGCUCUUUCAGUGUGGGCUCACGUUUGUAUGUGACGAGAGGAAAAAAUGCUGUGAAUGUGGCGUUGUAAAGCCUGCCCCUCAGAUUUACCAAGAAAUGGCUGAGACCCAUUUCUUCAAAGCCAUAGAGAUGACGACUGUGGGGAUCUAUGUCGUGAAAGACACUGCCACCAGCGAACCCUCUGACGUUGGAAUAGUCAUCGAGGGUGUGGUGGCACUUCGAGAUCUUGAGAAUGUAGCCCUUGCGUCUGCAAUGUUGUUUGGACUCUUGUAUGCAUUCAACAUGCAGUAACCUACAAAGCUCUGCUACACUUUUGAGGUAAUUCAGAAGAUAAUCAUGGAGCUGGAUGCGGGGGACCUGUCAAGAAAGGCUCAAAGCCUGAAAACUAUGCUCCACCAGUGAAGAGAGCUCAUUGUUCUUGGCUCUUCUGGAUUAGGACAUGAUUUUUGGCAAAGUAAUAGUCUCCAACUCUACAUUCCUGGACUCACUGGUGUUGCAACAUGGUUUUGGGACUACCAGUCCAGUGAUAUUUUUCUUUUACAGUUAUGAUUACUUCACAGCACCAGGAACAUGUGAAUUUUACCAUUCCAUGUGUUUAAAUUUAAUACAUUGUUCAAAAACCCUUAUUUUCCCAUAGAAUAUUUAGAGUGCAUUGUUUUAUAUAUAGAGUCUGCAGUUCAAUUUUAGAAAUGACCUGUUUUAGACAACAAAGCUACACCAGGGAAGGGGGCUCAAUGUAUUUGUCUCCUGGUUUGAUCAGGACAUGACUGUUGAGAUGCACCUUUUCAUCGUUUAGCUACAGUUUACAUUCCUUGACUGAGUGAUGUUGCAGCCUGGUUUUAUUUGUUUGUUCCCCAAUCCAGUGAAAGUCAAGCUGUACAGUUUUGAUUACAGUACCAUGCACAUUUGAAUUUAACCAUUCCAUUUUAUUAUGUUAAUAUAUAAUGCAUUUUUCAUGUAUGUAUAUUUGUUUUUAUUGAUGCAGAUGCAUUUUGGAAAUGCAAUUGGGAUUUUACCAUUCCAUUUACCAUUUUACACUCUGGAAUCUGUUAUUAUAGCAUGGUUCAAAAAUCUUAAGCUUCCCACAGUACAUUUAAGGUGUUUCUUGAUGUUUAGUUUUUUUAUAGAUGCAGAUGCAUUUAGAAAAAGCUGUUGUAUGUAUGUGUUCUUAGCUACAGUAUGCAGUACACCCCAGGAAGCAGUGUUUCAGGCCUGGUGUUAGUACCACAAAGUUUUACACUUUGUUAAAUCUUGACAUCCCCAUGGCAUAGUAUGGUGAACAUAUAAUUUUGUAAACUCAGCACCAUUUCUUUCUAGCCACACACCUGUGAAGCACAUUCAUUUGUUGAAUAAAAGGUCAGAAUUUAA